CAACCUCUGGCGAGAAUCGUGCAUGUUG
rfam:Flavobacterium columnare ATCC 49512, complete genome.